rnacentral:rRNA from 1 species
GCGCGGCUGACCGGUCCGCCUCACGGCGUGUACUGGUCUCGGCCGUGCUUUCCUCUUGGGCCGCCCGAGAGCGCUUUACCGUGCGCUCGGGAUGGCCCAGGACUUUUACUUUGAAAAAAUUAGAGUGUUCAAAGCAGGCAUUUGCUCGGAUACAUUAGCAUGGAAUAAUAGAAUAGGACGUCGAUCCUAUUUUGUUGGUUUCUAGGACCGCCGUA